AACUAACGCUGGCGGCGUGCCUAACACAUGCAAGUCGUACGAGAAAGUUGGCUUCGGCCGAUGAGUAAAGUGGCGCACGGGUGAGUAAUGCGUGGAUAAUCUGCCCUUUAGUUGGGAAUAACGUACCGAAAGGUGCGCUAAUACCUGAUAAUACUGCAUAACUACUGUUGUGUAGUCAAAGAAGGCCUCUGUUUACAAGCUUUUGCUGAAGGAUGAGUCCGCGUACCAUUAGCUGGUUGGUGGGGUAAUGGCCUACCAAGGCUACGAUGGUUAGCUGGUCUGAGAGGAUGAUCAGCCACACUGGAACUGAGACACGGUCCAGACUCCUACGGGAGGCAGCAGUGAGGAAUAUUGCGCAAUGGGGCAACCCUGACGCAGCAACGCCGCGUGAGUGAGGAAGGUUUUCGGACCGUAAAGCUCUGUCGAGCGGGAAGAAAUGUAUCAUGGCUAAUAUCCAAUGAUACUUGACGGUACCGCUAAAGG
rnacentral:rRNA from 1 species